UGCGAGGGGGGCAAGCGUUGUUCGGAAUUAUUGGGCGUAAAGGGCGCGUAGGCGGUGCGGUAAGUCACCUGUGAAAUCUCUGGGCUCAACUCAGAGUCUGCAGGCGAAACUGCCGUGCUGGAGUAUGGGAGAGGUGCGUGGAAUUCCCGGUGUAGCGGUGAAAUGCGUAGAUAGUCGGAGGAACACCUGUGGCGAAAGCGGCGCACUGGACCAUAACUGACGCUGAGGCGCGAAAGCUAGGGGAGCAAACAGG
rnacentral:rRNA from 1 species